rnacentral:rRNA from 1 species
UACACUCCUACGGGAGGCAGCAGUGGGGAAUUUUGGACAAUGGGCGAAAGCCUGAUCCAGCAAUGCCGCGUGAGUGAAGAAGGCCUUCGGGUUGUAAAGCUCUUUUGUCAGGGAAGAAACGGUGAGAGCUAAUAUCUUUUGCUAAUGACGGUACCUGAAGAAUAAGCACCGGCUAACUACGUGCCAGCAGCCGCGGUAAUACGUAGGGUGCAAGCGUUAAUCGGAAUUACUGGGCGUAAAGCGUGCGCAGGCGGUUUUGUAAGUCUGAUGUGAAAUCCCCGGGCUCAACCUGGGAAUUGCAUUGGAGACUGCAAGGCUAGAAUCUGGCAGAGGGGGGUAGAAUUCCACGUGUAGCAGUGAAAUGCGUAGAUAUGUGGAGGAACACCGAUGGCGAAGGCAGCCCCCUGGGUCAAGAUUGACGCUCAUGCACGAAAGCGUGGGGAGCAAACAGGAUUAGAUACCCCAGUAGUCCCAUGA